UACGGAGGGUGCAAGCGUUAAUCGGAAUUACUGGGCGUAAAGCGUGCGCAGGCGGUUGUGCAAGACCGAUGUGAAAUCCCCGGGCUUAACCUGGGAAUGGCAUUGGUGACUGCACGGCUAGAGUGUGUCAGAGGGGGGUAGAAUUCCACGUGUAGCAGUGAAAUGCGUAGAGAUCGUAAGGAAGACCAGUGGCGAAGGCGAGUUUCUGGACAGUUACUGACGCUGAGGCACGAAGGCCAGGGGAGCAAACGGG
rnacentral:rRNA from 1 species